CUUGGUCAUUUAGAGGAAGUAAAAGUCGUAACAAGGUUUCCGUAGGUGAACCUGCGGAAGGAUCAUUACAGAGUUCAUGCCCUCACGGGUAGAUCUCCCACCCUUGAAUAUUAUACCUUCGUUGCUUUGGCAGGCCGUGGAAACACCAUGGGCUCCGGCUGAUGCGUGCCUGCCAGAGGAAACAAAACUCUGUUUUUAGUGAUGUCUGAGUACUAUAUAAUAGUUAAAACUUUCAACAACGGAUCUCUUGGUUCUGGCAUCGAUGAAGAACGCAGCGAAAUGCGAUAAGUAAUGUGAAUUGCAGAAUUCAGUGAAUCAUCGAAUCUUUGAACGCACAUUGCGCCCCGUGGUAUUCCGCGGGGCAUGCCUGUUCGAGCGUCAUUUCAACCCAUCACGCUUCGGCGUGGUCUUGGGGCCUGCGGUUUCGCAGCCUCUAAACGCAGUGGCGGUGCUAUUGAGCUCUGAGCGUAGUAAUUUCUCUCGCUAUAGAGUCUCGGUGGUGACUUGCCAACAACCCCCAAUUUUUAUCAGGUUGACCUCGGAUCAGGUAGGGAUACCCGCUGAACUUAAGCAUAUCAAUAAGCGGAGGA
rnacentral:rRNA from 1 species